rnacentral:rRNA from 1 species
ACGCUGGCGGCAGGCCUAACACAUGCAAGUCGAGCGGUAGCACAGGAGAGCUUGCUCUCUGGGUGACGAGCGGCGGACGGGUGAGUAAUGUCUGGGAAACUGCCUGAUGGAGGGGGAUAACUACUGGAAACGGUAGCUAAUACCGCAUGACCUCGCAGGAGCAAAGUGGGGGACCUUCGGGCCUCACGCCAUCGGAUGUGCCCAGAUGGGAUUAGCUAGUAGGUGGGGUAAUGGCUCACCUAGGCGACGAUCCCUAGCUGGUCUGAGAGGAUGACCAGCCACACUGGAACUGAGACACGGUCCAGACUCCUACGGGAGGCAGCAGUGGGGAAUAUUGCACAAUGGGCGCAAGCCUGAUGCAGCCAUGCCGCGUGUGUGAAGAAGGCCUUAGGGUUGUAAAGCACUUUCAGCGAGGAGGAAGGCGUUGCAGUUAAUAGCUGCAGCGAUUGACGUUACUCGCAGAAGAAGCACCGGCUAACUCCGUGCCAGCAGCCGCGGUAAUACGGAGGGUGCAAGCGUUAAUCGGAAUUACUGGGCGUAAAGCGCACGCAGGCGGUUUGUUAAGUCAGAUGUGAAAUCCCCGAGCUUAACUUGGGAACUGCAUUUGAAACUGGCAAGCUAGAGUCUUGUAGAGGGGGGUAGAAUUCCAGGUGUAGCGGUGAAAUGCGUAGAGAUCUGGAGGAAUACCGGUGGCGAAGGCGGCCCCCUGGACAAAGACUGACGCUCAGGUGCGAAAGCGUGGGGAGCAAAC